CUUAGCACAGGUCUUCCUGUGUAAAUACGUCUCUUUAUGAUUAGCAUCCAGUGCUCCUGACAUUAGCUUCCAGCUAGUGUGUAUAAUUCUAGAGCACGGCUCGUGUUCCUGGAUCGCUCCCCCACAGAAGAGUGUCAACAGCAGUGUGUGUAUGCACUGAUACAUGACCAGAAAACUCUACACAAGGCACUGUUCACAGAGGAGAGAUGGGAAUUUUUCAAAGGUUUUGUCAGAAAAAAAGAAGUUACUUGGACUUUCUGCAGGAAUCAUUCAGUUUCCGAGAAAUCCAGGCAGGACCAGCCAAUAUGCCAGUGGUCUGAACAGUCACUUGAUUAAAAAAGAUUCAGAUUCAAGGUUUUCCUUACACAAUGUGGAAGACAGACCAAGCCAGACGUGGUGCAGACUUUGAAUCUUCCCCUUGGAUGAAGAUUAUGACCAAUCAACUUUCUUCUCAGGUGGGUUUUCUUCUUUCACCUCUUUCUUCCCACACCUAUGAAACCUUUGAAGACUCUUGAUUCUGUUUUUGGAAAUGUCAGGAAGUGUGUAAUGAAGAAAUCACGUCCCAGUCAAAUCAACUCAGCCAGGAAUAGAUGGAUUUUCACAAAACCCUUAAGAGACGACACAGUCCAGUUAUCCCUAUUUUAUAGACAGGGAGCUGAGGCAUAAAGAUGAAACAAAAAAUUAUCCGCUCAUUUGGGUUAUCCAGUUUAAUAUGUCUCAAAGCUGAUAUUACAACAAAUAAGAAAAACAGAAUGUUAUGUAGUACAAUAGCUUCCUGAGUCUCUACUGGUAGCUUUAGCUCAACAGUAGUGCUGGCUGAAAGAUAUCCAAAGCAGCUGUCCUGCCUAAUCUUACAUCCCGAUUCCCAAGCAGAGAGAAGCUAGAACGUUCUAACGAAAAAUAUAUAUUUUUUUAAUCUUGGACUAAAAGAAAAAAUACCCACAAAGCUUUUUUCCAUAGUCUAGAUGACUAAAAGGGCUGCAAUAUUUUACCUGAAAUUUAAAAGAAAAAAUAAUCAACCUGAGCAGUCACCCAGUACAAGGAAACUUCAACACAGGGGAAAGUUUGGCUAAAUUAUAAGCAUCUGAAAGCAGAGACUUCCAAAGAGAAAUGUCAUGCAAUGUCAACAAUAAGCAGGGCUACAAGCCUUUCCAGUAAUGAGAAGGUUCUUACUUGUAAGCACAGUUCUGGAACCAUAAAAGAGAUCAACAUUGCAACAUACAUAUUAAUUCUUCAUUCAAUAUUAUACAUAUUGCCGGGGAAAAAGCCACAUCAUUUCCCAUCAAGAAGUCUGUUACCCUGCUAGUAACAACAGAAGGCUAGUCAGUCAGUCCGUCAGCCAAAAGCGUUUAAUUCAGCCAGAUCUCUUUCCUUACUGCGAAGCAAAAUAAUGAAACAAACGACAAUCU
rnacentral:lncRNA from 1 species